UUGUUUCUAUAGAAAAUAGACUCAUUAAGGAAUCUAAGCAUGUAAAUUUCAACUCAUAACCAUUUUUGUACAAUUUGUAAUUAUUUUCUAAACUCAGAACAGGGGACUCCAAAAACAGUUCUGACCCUAUCUUACUAAAAUUCACAUAUCUUAAAAUAUAAAUUUCUUUUCUCUACACCGUUAUUUUUCCAUGAAAAUAGACUCAACAAGCUUUAAUUCCAUAUAUCAUUCACCCUCUAAUUCAUUUUAUACUAUCUUGGGUGAUUUUUCAAAUUCACGUCACUAUUGCUGCCUGAAUUCUGUUUCUUUGCAAAAUUUUACCAUUUUAUGACUUUCAUACCUAAUUUAUCACUUAGACUUUUAUAACAAUAAUUAACUUCAUCCUUGACCAUUUAAACAACCAUUCAUCAUCAAAUACUUACACAUCAUUCUAUAGUGAAAUCAUAUUUACAAAUAUACAAAAUUACUAAAUUCCUAUACAUGCCAUAACUAAAAGAAAUGUUCACCACCACAAUUAGCUCAGAAUCGGCUUUGGAUGCUGAUUCAACAAUCCGACUUUGACCUAACCUGCGCACGGAAACAACCGUACGCUGAGUAUGGAAAUACUCAGUGGUAUUACCAUAAUUCGAAUUAAUAACAUUAAUCGAUAAAUUAUAUACAUUUUAUUUAUGUCUACAAUUAUUCAUUAAUUAUCUCAUGCAUUAAAUCAACUUGAUAAUUAAUAACAAUAAGCUAUAAUUCAAAUCUUGUAUUUAAUUGUAUUCAUACCUUAUUUCACUAUCUCAAUUCCAUUGGAUUUUUCUUUACAUCUCAUUCCAAUAGUUCAUUUCAAUUCAUAUACAAUUCAUUUCAUUUAAUUUAUAUUCAAUAUAAAUUUUAUUGCAAUUUGUACUCACUAAUAUCAUAUAACAAAAUUUACUCUUUAUCACAUCAUGAACUUUGGGCUCAUAUCUUUAAAUCUCUUAUUUCGAUUUCCAAUUCACACAUCAAUUCACAACUUCACUUUUUCGUUUCUUCCCAUAGCUCAAUCAAUCACAUUUAUUCAAUUUUCUCAUUUCAAUUAUUUACCCCUAUUAACAAGACUCGGACCUUGGCGGAUACACGGAUCCAACCAAACACACCAAAAUGGCACCCAGUGCCUCAUCGGAUAGUUCGAAGCAAUAGUUGACACCCAGUGUCUCAUCGGCCCAGCCGAAGUAAAGUUGGUACCCAGUACCUCAUCGAAUCUAUCCGAAGAAAUAUAGUGACACCCAGUGUCUCAUCGACUCAAGGUCGAAGUAUCCCUGAACUCUUCCAAUCCUAUGGCAUGCCAACUAUAUCCGACUCAGCCCGACUAGUUAAUAGGGUUUCCGAAUCACAUUUCAAUUCAAUCACUUUCUCAUACUUUCAAUUCAAAUCAUUCCCAUUUAAUCACCAUUUGUUUCAAUACAUUUUUCUAUUUCAAAUUCACUUUCGAUUUAAUCGCAAUUCAACUCAGAUUCACUUCCCACUUUCAAAUCAAUAUACAAUUCAAUACCAAUACAUAUUUCAGAUAUUCACAUAUAAUCAUACUUCGAUUCAAUUCAAACCACUUUUCAAUCAAUACACAAUUCACAUAUUCACAUAUCUCAAUUUAAUAUCUCAUUUAUUCAAUUCAUAUUUUAAUUCAUUCAAUUAAAUAUUGAUAUUCUCCUUAUUUUUAUUUACUAACAUAUUAUUCAAAAUUCAAUAAUUACUGUCAAUAAAUUCAAUAUCAAUACGUAUAUAUAUUAUUCAAUUCAAUUAUGAAACUCACCUCAAUUUGCUUAUCGUGUAUAUUAAUUUAAUUUUCAACGAUUAAUAAUUAAAUUCGAAUUAUAGUAAUACUAACCGUAAUUUCUCUCGAGUCACUCCUUGUCCACUUUCUCCUUUCCUUUCUCGGACAAUGACUCGUACACGACAUUAGCAAAUUACUUUGAACCUUAAAACCCCAAAUUUCCCUUUUUCUUUUCUUUUCUUUCUUUCUUUCCUUCCUUCCUUCUCUGUUUCGUUUUGCUCUCUGUUUCUUUCUUUCUCCCUUCUCUGUUUUGUUUUGCUCUCUGUUUCUUUUCUUUCUUUGUCAUAUAUAUAUAUA
rnacentral:lncRNA from 1 species